GACGAACGCUGGCGGCGUGCUUAACACAUGCAAGUCGAACGGAAAGGCCCUGCUUUUGUGGGGUGCUCGAGUGGCGAACGGGUGAGUAACACGUGAGUAACCUGCCCUUGACUUUGGGAUAACUUCAGGAAACUCGGGCUAAUACCGGAUAGGAUCUCCUGCUGCACGGUGGGGGUUGGAAAGUUUCGGCGGUUGGGGAUGGACUCGCGGCUUAUCAGCUUGUUGGUGUGGUAGUGGCUUACCAAGGCUUUGACGGGUAGCCGGCCUGAGAGGGUGACCGGCCACAUUGGGACUGAGAGACGGCCCAGAAUCCUACGGGAGGCAGCAGUGGGGAAUAUUGCACAAUGGGCGGAAGCCUGAUGCAGCAACGCCGCGUGCGGGAUGACGGCCUUCGGGUUGUAAACCACUUUCGCCUGUGACGAAGCGUGAGUGACGGUAAUGGGUAAAGAAGCACCGGCUAACUACGUG
rnacentral:rRNA from 1 species